UGAUUGCCCAUGUUCCCGCCAUGGCGGCUGAGGGGAUGCGGACCUCCCUCACGGCAACCUCAAAAUAAACCUUCCGCAAACCCCUGGAAGGGCCGUGCGGGAUUCCCAGUGAUUAUCAUCAAUGACUAAUUUGAGUUCCCAGAGACCCGCUGGUCUCAGGAGACAGCUGAGCCCUCUUUCAGCCUGGUGAUGGGUGGAGAGACAAGCCGCAGAACAGACAGCUCCAGGGAGGAAGCUCUUGGAAGUGGCAAUGCAGAUGUUCCUGUUUAUCUGGCCAUUGGAGGACACGAGAGCAACGUGCUCAGAGCUAUCAAGAACCUGAUCUUUUCAGCAAGCUGUUGUCAUGUCUAAAUGAAUUUAUCCAGGUAAAUCCAUAUGCAAAGGAAGGGCAGGUAAGUUUAAAAAUAAGAGUCCAUUUCAAGUCUCCCAGGAAUAAAUGGAUGGUCUUUUGUGCCCCAGAUUGGGCUUUUCUAGGUAUCACUACUGCUACAGUUGGGCCAAAAACCAGUGGGGGAAAUUGUGGGUGUGGAAAAGUUGAAAGACAUAAUCAGCCAUAAUUCAUAAUUCAGUCUUUUUGGAAGGACAGCUUGAUUUUCUUUUGCAGUUGCAAGAAAAAGCUGUAAACAAAAAAAAAUUACUUAAGAAAAAUGUUCAUUGUAUUACAAAGUUAUAAUUUGCAUGCUAAAAUUGCAAGUGUUAUCAUUUCUACUACUAACAGUAAAAAAGUAGGUGAGCCAAAGCACUGAGUGUGCCAGCCAGUGCCAAGAGGAGGAAACUAGGUUAAGCUGAAGUAUCAGUUGUUCCUAUUCCCCUUCAUUUGUUUGUUCACACAUGAAUAAUUUUUUUUCAAUUUAUUUAUUUUUUUUUUUUAAAUACAAGACAGCUUAGAGCUACUCUGGGCCAUCAGCUACAAUGGACUACAUAAUUCCCAGGCUGAUUUAAACACACUGCUUCCCAUGGGCACACACAGGCAGAGGAAUAUUCGGUGGCCACCAGCUGAUAUUGGAAAGACAGGCACUAAAAAUAAGUUGUCCUUUUUUAACAGUAAGUGUAAUUAAGCACUGAAAUAGUGCCUGUUGUAGGGAGGUGGCCCCAAAGGCACGGAGCCAAAACAAGACAUGUUGUUAAAAGGUAUAUUGCCUUCAGCAGAUGGUCAGAGCUCUGAUGCUUGAAGCACCCAGUGAAAUUAUCCACCCAAUUCCUGUAGGAAGCCUGUCUGGAGCAACUGUUACAGCCCUAAUUUCUCUGAAAAUACAAAUAUAUGGUUGCUAGUUUUCACUGCUUUACAGCUAUACUAUUUGGUGUAUUUUUAGCCGUUCAGUUGUGAGAACACAACGAAAACAGCACCAGCCCACUUUGGUUUGCAUUAUGAUUUACUUUCUAAAGCCCACACUGCAGUGGAGACUGGAGGGGCCCAGGUACCAAAAACAGUUUAACUGUGAUAGCACAAAAAUAUGUUGUCUGUCAGGGGAGAGUUAGGUGGAAUAUUAGGAAAAGAUAAGAUAUAAAGAUAUAAAGAUAUAAAGCACCCAGAGAGUGCUGGGGCACUGCCCAGGCUCCCCAGGGAAUGGGCACAGCCACAAGGCUGCCAAGUUCCAGGAGCAUUGGGACAUCACCCUGUCCCUGCACGUGGGGUGACCCAGAGGCAGAAGAGGCAGGAGUCCAGCUCUUGUGAUGUGAUCAUUGUGGGUUCAAGAACAAGAAGACAUGAAAGUUAUAUCUGAUCAUGUUAUUAGUGCACACAUCCAUACAUGCAAAUAAACCAGAACGUACAAUUAUGUGUAUAUAGGUA
ensembl:lncRNA